GUCCACGCCGUAAACGAUGAGUGCUAAGUGUUGGGGGGUUUCCGCCCCUCAGUGCUGCAGCUAACGCAUUAAGCACUCCGCCUGGGGAGUACGGUCGCAAGACUGAAACUCAAAGGAAUUGACGGGGGCCCGCACAAGCGGUGGAGCAUGUGGUUUAAUUCGAAGCAACGCGAAGAACCUUACCAGGUCUUGACAUCCCAUUGACCACUGUAGAGAUACAGUUUUCCCUUCGGGGACAACGGUGACAGGUGGUGCAUGGUUGUCGUCAGCUCGUGUCGUGAGAUGUUGGGUUAAGUCCCGCAACGAGCGCAACCCUUGAUCUUAGUUGCCAUCAUUUAGUUGGGCACUCUAAGGUGACUGCCGGUGACAAACCGGAGGAAGGUGGGGAUGACGUCAAAUCAUCAUGCCCCUUAUGACCUGGGCUACACACG
rnacentral:rRNA from 2 species